CCCUUAGAGUUUGAUCCUGGCUCAGAACGAACGUUGAUGGCGUGCCUCAUACAUGCAAGUCGAGCGCGGUAGCAAUACCGAGCGGCGGACGGGUGAGUAACACGUAAACAAUCUGCCCUGAAGCGGGGAAUAACUAUCCCAACGGAUAGCUAAUACCGCAUAAUGAUGGAGACGGCAUCGUCUCUUCUCAAAAGGCUUCGGCCACUUCAGGAUGAGUUUGCGUCCCAUUAGCUUGUUGGCGGGGUAAUGGCCCACCAAGGCUACGAUGGGUAUCCGGCCUGAGAGGGUGUACGGACACAUUGGGACUGAGAUACGGCCCAGACUCCUACGGGAGGCAGCAGUAGGGAAUUUUGCGCAAUGGGGGAAACCCUGACGCAGCAACGCCAUGUGUGGGAUGAAGCAUUUCGGUGUGUAAACCACUGUCAGCGGGGAAUAAACGGCAGCUUCGGGCUGCUUUGAAUGUACCCGCAAAGGAAGCCCCGGCUAACUUCGUGCCAGCAGCCGCGGUAAUACGAGGGGGGCAAAUGUUGUUCGGAAUCACUGGGCGUAAAGGGAGCGUAGGCGGGUUCUUAAGUUAGGUGUUUAAUCCCGGGGCCCAACCCCGGACCGGCACUUAAAACUGGGAAUCUUGAAUAGUGGAGAGGUCGGUGGAAUUUGGG
rnacentral:rRNA from 1 species